ACGACCCAAGCUAAGGCAGUCUAAUUUCUCUCAGCGAACUUUUCUUUCGCCUAAGUGUAACUUUUGCAUAAUACUCGCAGCAGACAAGCUUAUGAAUGAUGGCGUUCACAUCGAUGGCAGCCCACUUGGCAGAUGUCCAAAAGCCGAGGAAAUGGUGAGCUCACGAAACAAGCGGCGCCUUGGUCCUUUGCAAUGCUCCCCCCUCCCCCUUCCCACCACCUUUCAAGGACUUUUCCGCAUGCAUUCCCAAGUAGUUGAACAUGGGAGUGCCAUUAUGGGAAGUAAUAAACAAGAAAUGGAAUAACUGAAUUGUUCGGAUAGAAUUGCAGAUGCCCUUUGUCCUGUGAUUAGCAUUUGUUGCACAAGUCGAGUGAGGCACAGCAGUGCACAAAUAUUCAGUGCGAAUCCAAAGAGAUAUAUAAAACAAAGAAUAUCUAUAAGAUAUAAUAGCAAAAAUAAAAAAAAAUACAAAAGUAUAUUUA